UUGAAUAUCAGCUUCAAGAGCUUUAAGAGAAUCCUUGAAAGACUUGCGCAUCUCUCCCAUCACCAUAAUCACUUUUUCUUCUUCUUCUUGUUUUCACUUUUUCACAAUAAUAUAAAACUCAAUGAAACCCUCUCAUGAUAAAAUUCACUUCACUCAAAAACAUGAACCGUUAUUCUUUUUUGUUGCGAAAAAAUAGCCACUAAGAUAAAGCACUCAAAAGAAGAGAGAAUUUUUUAGAGUGAGAUUAGGAAGAGAAAAAAGUAUAAUAAUAAAAAAUUCUUUGAAGGGGUUUUGUGGGUUUUGGCUUGAAGCACACGUAACCCCUUUAUGCAUAUCUCAUUUAUUAUUUUAGUGUAACUUGAUUUAUUACCUUAUCUAGCAUCAUUAAUGUAUGAUUUUGUAUUAUUAUUCUUGGUAGAAGAUUUUAUAUUAUUUUUGACUUGGAAGAAUUAUAUUUUAAUAUUGAAUGAUAUACUUUUCUAUAUAUUAAUAUAUAUUGAUAAAUAA
rnacentral:lncRNA from 1 species